GCAAUUUCUUCCUCCCCUGGGGCUGAGGGUCCAAGAACAGAGAUCAUCAUCUUCCUGAAGACAGAGGGUCCCGGACUGUCUCUCAUCUACUUCAAAUCAAGGAGGAGUAAUAUUCCAGGUAUGGAGACAGCCACAGGGGAUUCAUAGCUGUGUCCGACUCCAGUAUUGUCUCUUUUUUACAUGUGGCUUGUGCUGCCAAAAAAUUAUGGCAAGAGACCAAUCUCACUCCAAUACCAGCAAAAACACAGCUAAUUUCACACUGAUUGCCAGCCCCAAUUGACCAGAAGUCCAAGUUCUGUCUGAAACAUUUUUAGACAAGAAAAAGCCACAA